UCUUCUCUCCUUAAUCUUAUUUUUUUUGCCACCAUCAUCUCUAGCAGGACUCCACCAUAACCGCGGCCUUUGACACCAAACCAUCCCCACCGGUCCAUCACUGCGCGCCAACCACCUAAACUCAAAAGCCUCUCUGUUGUUGAGAAUCUUACUUCACUCUGAAAAAGACGAAGAAGGGGUUCAGCGAGGAACUGAGGGAAUCUCGGAAGUGAGGAGUUAGGGACGAUGGUAGGUUAGGGGGUGCAGCAAAGGAGUUGUGGAGGACCUUUUUCUUUUCUUUUUUUCUCUCUUCAAAUUUGAUUUUUUUUGUCUUGCUGGCAUGUCAUUUUCCCAUUGGUCUUGUUUGCCAAGUAGAUAGCAAGUGAUAUUCACGCUCCAAACAUGAUGUAGAAUUAUUAAAUUUGUAUUUAAUAGGUAUACUUUUAUUGAA